ACUCAGGGGAUCUGCCUGCUUCUGCCUCCUGAGUGCUGGGAUCAAAGGUGUGUGCCACCACCACCUGGCUUCAAAAGCUCUUAAAAUGGCUAGUGUUUUCUCUCCCCCCCCCCUUUUAAAUGUCUGUUUUGUUUUCUGAGUUUCCUGUUCUGAUUAGAGGGAAGCUGGUUUUAUUGACUAUCAAAGCCACCUGCUCACAGGGAAACCUAGGUACCCAGUGGGAUAAGAUUUCCUUUCUCCUCCAUCCUUAAGGAAAUUGAUUCAUUAACCCCAAUGGAGAACAUCUGGCACUCAGUAUCUCAAGCACAUUGGGUUCAAUACUCUGUAAGUAGGAUAUUCUAAAUGAAUUAGUAUUUUCAAUAGAGCAGUUUCUAUUUUAUUUAGCAAAGUCAUAUAAACGGACCACUAUCAUGCUAACUGUUACAAAAGAAAGCAAGGAAAUUUCAAGGCUCUUGAAUAUUUGAUGUGGUUGAGAAUGUCUAUCAUAUUGAUAAUAUGUUAAUCAGCAGUUUUCAGUUUAGUCUUUUAUAGCUAGUACUCACAGAUAAUUCAAUUUAUGUGGGGAAUAAAUUUGAAUAUUUUUUACUAAUAUACAUAUACUCUUUCAGAUACAUUAAUUGAUGAGUCCCAAAACCAAGUAUUGAAUGCAUUGUUUUCUCAAUACUGUUCAUCUCCUGAGUAAGGCUUAUUAUAGUGGAUGGCAGCAAUGAACUACUUGCUCCAUAAUCUAAAGCUUGCAACUUUCAAGUUUUAUUAAAACCUUGUAAAGAUAUUGCCCAUAUAAUUUUAUUCUUAGGCAACUCUGUUUUGAGGCCAGAGUGAUAAUGCUGGAGCUGAACAGAUAUUUCUAGCUGUCUGGGUGUGGUGAGAUGGAAACCUGAAGAUCGACUGGUUUUGUCUGUUGGCCCAGAGGCUUGUGCCUGCCUGUCUCUGGAAGGGCACAAAGCAAAGAAGGAAGAAACGGUCUCUUUUUUUGGACGGCACAGCAUGACUUCAGCACAUUGAAGCUUCUCCAAAGCUCUUCACCUUUAACAUUGUGGGAAUUCAGCAUCCUGAAGGCUGUUUCCUGCAAAGCCUCUGUGUCUGCUGCUUUGCGGGGAGUAAGAGCAAAAUAGAUUUGAUUCUGCAGACUCCCAAGGAGAACUGAUGCAUUUGAAAAUGUGGUAUCUCAACUGACAUCAGUGUCUGGUGUUCCUGUUAAUCCUGAAGAUUCUCACCCAGGAGACUGAAGCAGAAUCCUGGCCCUGCCCUCACUCUAAGGAUGAGUCACUCAGUGUGGGCGACGUUUGUAGAUGGAAACUGGCUCUGCUCCCUACUCUGAUUUCCUGGAAAGUAAAGGAAUGCAUUAACAUCCUGUAUUUGGAAUGAAAGAUUACAGGUAGCUACAGGAAAAACAGAAGUAGGGAGCACGUAGCCCACAUUGAACUUGCAGCAGAAGCAGAAUAGAAGCCCUGCUUAUGGAAAGUGGUUUUGACCUAAGAUAUUCAGACAGAGCUGCAAGCCUAAGAGCCUCAUGUCCUGGAUCCCUUCACUUUCUUUGUUCUGGAAAUACUUUAUGUUCUAUCCACCAAAUGCACACACAGAAAGAAGAUUCCAAAGGCGUAACAGAGGCCCAGUGAGUACAAACAUUUAAAAAGUAAGAAAAUAAUACAUUCUCAAAUUUACUGAUUUUAUGUUUGGAAGUGUAAACAGCCUCCCUGCUGCCCCAGGAACCAAGACACUCUUUUUGCUUAGCAUUUGCUGCAUGGAGUGAAUCAUUUAUUAGUCAAACAAGAUAAGUGAAUUAUCUUUAUUCCUUCCUAUUGCCAAAUGUGAUAUUGUUGGGGAGAGCAAAGAGCAUUUUGAAACAGAUGCCAGUAUUGUCAUCUUUGAGUGGCACACAUUUAGUAGCAACAGUUGGGUGUCUUUUUCUGAAUUUCUUUACAGGACAUAAACCAAAAGCUAUUCCUCUGUGGAUUCAAGAUAAAAUCCCAUUGAGAGUCAGUGCUGAGCAUGCAGAUAGAAGCUGAAUGUGAGAGAGAUGAUCCAAUUUUCAUCAUCGGAAGCAGGGCUAGACUGUGAAAAGGGGUGAGUAUGACUGAACAAAAUGAUGGUUCACCUCUGAGGAACACUCACUAAGGUGAGCUGUCAAAAAGAUUUUCCCUUUGAUAGACUCAUCCAUUUUAAUAGCAUAGUAGUUCCUGGGAUGACAGAUUGGAAUUUAUGGUCUCUAGUUUCUGGGGCCAGAAAAUCUGAAAUAACUUCUCAGUAAGUUGCCUUGAAAAAUUACUGAAUUGUACCAUGUACUUCCUUUUGGUAAGAUGUAGGAUGCUACUAACUGGUUAAUCUCCUUCCUCCUUGAAGAUGAUUUACAGAGCCUGGCUAUUUGACAUGAUGGAAAAUCACUGCUAUUUGGCCUCAUACAAAAUGGAGUUUCCCAUGGUGAGCUUGAAGAUGUCUCCCAUAUUAUACUUCUAUGGUAUAAUUUCUGGGAGUCUUUCGUUUGGACUUCAUCUCAUAGGGUCAUAUAUGAUGGAUUCUUAAAAAUAAACCUAUUUACAUAGGGUUUAAAUAGAACCUCAUCCUAUAAUCUACCUGGUGUUUGGACUAUAGUGAUUCUGGAGUAUGAAUGUGCUCAUAAAGUUGAUACAAAUUUAAUUCCCUGCUAAAUCAGGAAAUGAGUAUUUGUUCUCUGUUCUUGAUGCUGUCUUGGUAAGUUUGGCAAAUGGUUGUUAUCUUUCAGUAGCAAGAAUUGAGUAACUAGAUGUUUAAUGGCAAUCUAUAUAUUACAUGAAUUCUAAAAUUGAUUACCGGUAGAGAGGAUAGUUAAAAGAACAAUAUACUUUUCAACAAAUGACACUUGUGACUCACAAGAAGGUAAUUGUAGUACUAUUGAACAAGGCAGACGUCUUUCCUGACUUGUCUGGCCUUUUGUUUUUGUUUUAUUUAGAGACAAGGUCUACUUCAGACUGUUGAAUAUCUGGACUUACAAGUAUGUCCACCCCAUACCUGGCUAGAUUUCCUUUUGACUGAAAACAGGUGUCUGUUUUACUUUGCUGGAAAAGUUUCCAGAAAGCAUUUUAUAAGAAAUACUUUAAGAAGAGUCUAGAAGAUGCAUAAUUCACAGUAGCCAAAGAGAGGAAGCAGCACAAGUGACCAGCUACUGAGGAACAGAUAAAGCCAAAGUGGGGAAUUGAUAGAACAUAACGCUUCAGGAUUGUAUUGAAAUUCUUUAUGCAUGAACCUUAAAGGCGUGCAAAGUGAAAUGACAGUUACAGAAGACAAAUGUUGUAUUAGUUAGCUUAUGGGAAGUGCCCAGAAGAGUCAUGUGCACAGAGAUAUAAAGUGGGAUGUUGGUUUCCAGGGGGAGGAGAAAUGGGGAAAGAGAAGUUAUUGUCUAGUGGGCAUAUAGUUUCUGUUUGAGAGGAUGAAAGUGUUCUGGAGAUGGAUGAAGGCACUGGUUGCAUAGCAAAGUGACUGCAUUUAAAGCCACAAAAAUAUAUGUUUAAAACUGGUUAAAUGGCAAGUUAUAUGUUACAUAUAUAUUACCAUAAUUUAGAAACAUGAAAGAACAAAACUUAAACUUAUUUUAAUUGUAUCUUUACGUUUGGCCUGUGAUGAUGUAUUGUGUACCCUAAUAAAAUUUGCCUGAAGAUCAGAGAACAGAACAAGCCACCUAGAUUAAA